rfam:Daphnia magna strain Xinb3 scaffold02066, whole genome shotgun sequence.
UUACAAUGGCGUGGGGCGAAUAUCCAGCAGGCUACAACCCAAAAGUCCAUGGACCUUAUGAUCCAGCCCGCUUCUAUGGAAAAGGUUAACAACGCG